UUUUUUGGAACAGAUCUAGUACUCCAUCGUCUGUGUGCGUGGUCUGGAAACAGUGAUCAUUUGGCUUUCACCUAUCUUCCUUGGCCAAAGUUCUAUGUUUCAAUUAGAGUGAUGGGCUAGCUAGGUUUCUUCUCUGGUUUCUCAUCUCUUCCUUAGCGAUAAUUUACGCGGGAUGAAUGAAAAACUUAGCGCUAAAUUUUGCCGUAAUUAGAGAUCGAUAAUUGAUUGUGCGAAGAAUGUUUCAUACUGCUAAAGGGAUUAUCAUUAAUCCCAAAAUUCCCCCCCCCCAACUUCAUCUUCCAAUCAAAAAAUCUACUCUUUCUAUCUCAAUUGCAGAUGCCCUAACUGCAAAGACCCAAAGACCUUUCAAUUUGUUCGAAGGUAUUUUUUUCUAACAACUUUGUUCCUCCUUAUUCCAUUACUUGCUAAAAUGACUUGUAUAAUUAGUUUUAUUGUCAAUGAAAUUGGUGAGAAGGGAAGGAAUCUUAAUUUUUUAAUUAUGCUUUAACUUCUUUUAGGAUUAGUUUGUUGAUUUAGUACUUGGGAAUCUUAAUCUUUUUUUUUAUGCUCAUUUGGGUCUUCUUGCUUCUUUUGUUGAUUUGGGUAGCAAGAACUGAUAUAUAUUGAUUCGGAGUUUUGAUGUUUUAAUUUGUAAGUAUGCAUAUUCUCAUAAAUGGAAAAUCCAAUUUUCUGGCAAUUUAUUGAAACCUAUUAUGUAGUUGUUCACACACAAAUAUUUGUUUUCUUUGUGAUUAGGCAUGAAGUUGCCAAUGUUUUUAUAAGAUUCUCAAAAUAUAUGUUAAGUCUAUCUAAAUUGUGGUCAAAAGUUGGGCUCUACCCUAUGAUAUUUUGUAGUUAGUGGUUUAACUCAAAACUUAACCAUAACAUGGUAUGGUAAUAUUAUUAUUAAUGCACCCUUGACUUUUAGCUUAUGUUCAGACAUUAGGUUGAGAACAAAGCUACUUGUGUUAUUUAUGUCACAAUAAUGAUCCACAAAAAUUAAGUGGAAUAACCUCACAAUUUUUGAACAAACAACAAAGUGUAGCAAAUUCUGAGAUCUUUCCCCUUGAAAAUUGUUUCUUCCAUUCACUCCCAUUGUCCUAUAAUACACUUCCUGUAAUGAAAAUAAGAGAAACUCCUGCCAAUAUGAAUUUUUGCAUAUAGUCGGUUUAUCACGUCAUUAACAUCACAUGUUGAUAGGCAAACAUGGAGUUGAUAUUAGUAAUUCUAAAGUUUUUUUGAUUUACAAUCUUUUAUUAUUUAUUAUGCUUGUAUUGCUUCUUAUAGAAAUUAACUGAAUAUGAAGUUCUUAAGUUUAAUUGUUCAAAUCAAAUUUUGGCUAACCACACAUCUGUCAUCAAUAACCAUUUCAAAUAGUUUUAUUUAUUUUUAGAAUUUUUUUUGGUUGAAAAAUCAGUUCAGGCGUAGGCAGCAGAGUACUUGAAAAAUAAAACACUUGAGCAUAAAAUACAUCGUUCUCCAGUUUAUAAAGAAAGAUGAUGUUUUGCAAGCAUUUUAUUCAGAAAUGGGAUUAAGAAGCAUAAUAAACGAAAAUUGUAAGAACACUGCAGCCUGCAAAAAUCACCUGCAACUCAAUGUUGAGGUGAGGUAUAUUCUACUUUCAUUUGUGCUCUUGGCAUAUACUAUUGGCUUACAGGACUUACUUACUAAUGCAGGUACGGUCUUUCUAUGCCAUGUAUUGUGCUGCUUGAAAUUGUAAACCGUUUGAUGCUGUAAGAGCUUCUCAUAGGGGGUUAAUACCUUGGAAAAUAUUUUGAUGAUAAUACUAACUCGUAAAUUGUCUAUUGAAAUCUAUUUCUUUCCAAAAUAAUUAGAAGUUGCUCACAUAAGCUUGGGCAUUCUUUAUAGAUGAUAUCCGUGACAGAUUUACGACCAAUUCAUUUAAUAAUUCCAUUUGUGGUACUCAUGCACAACAUUUUUUCUAGGAUAUCAAACUUAUGUAGUUGAAUGCUCAUCAUUUUACAAUACUACCAAUUCAUGAAUAAAUAAGGCCAUGUUUGUUUGUAAAAAAUGCUUGGGAUUGAACUAUUUGUCUUGAUUUAACACUAUUACGAACUGUUUUAUUCAUCAUGGUAGAUUAAUAGUUAUUUAAAUAGUUAUAUAGACAAUUUUUUAUUAUUCUUAAAGCUAUUUAUGAGGGAUUAUAUGAAUGUGGGAUUAAUAGUCCCCCAUAAGCUAUCAAAUGACUUUAUGGGUCUAAUGGUUUCACUUUGAGAGAUUAAUAGUCCUUCGUCAAAGGAUAAAAUAGUCCGAAGUUGUGUUAAAUUAAGACAAAAUAGUUUAAUCUUAAGCAUACUUUUUGCAAACAAACAUGGCCUAAAGAGUUAUAUAAAGUAUUCAGAUAUUUUGUAUUAUUUUCUAUUUAGAGAUGGCCCUGGAUUGGGCUUGUUAUUGAAUUUGGCGUUGUGUUGGGUCAGUAGUCAACUCUAUAUCACCCUGUUAAGGUAAUUUACAUUUCUACAUAUCAACAUACAUAGGUUGGCAGUAUCUCAUGUCCAGAUUUCAUUCCAGCACUGGGAACAAUAAACAUACAUGAAUUCCAGAAUUCUUAUUGGUUUACGCCAAAAUAAAAAUGUUGCGUAUAUUUCCAUAGUGAACUUUAUGUUAGUGGCACUAAUUCUCUUUAGAUGAGCUAUACUAAAUUCUACGGUUUGCAG
rnacentral:lncRNA from 1 species